UUCGAGUGGCGGACGGGUGAGUAACGCGUGGGUAACCUGCCUUACACAGGGGGAUAACACCUGGAAACAGGUGCUAAUACCGCAUAAGCGCACAGGGCCGCAUGGCCCGGUGUGAAAAACUCCGGUGGUGUAAGAUGGACCCGCGUCUGAUUAGCUUGUUGGCGGGGUAGAGGCCCACCAAGGCGACGAUCAGUAGCCGGCCUGAGAGGGUGGACGGCCACAUUGGGACUGAGACACGGCCCAAACUCCUACGGGAGGCAGCA
rnacentral:rRNA from 1 species